AUUGAACGCUGGCGGCAUGCUUUACACAUGCAAGUCGAACGGUAACAGGCCGCAGGGUGCUGACGAGUGGCGAACGGGUGAGUAAUGCAUCGGAACGUGCCCAGGCGUGGGGGAGAGCUGCUCGAAAGAGCGGCUAGUACCGCAUACGAUCCAUGGAUGAACGCGGGGGACCGUACGGCCUCGCGCGCUCGGGGCGGCCGAUGGAUGAUUAGGUAGUGGGUGGGGUAAAGGCUCACCAAGCCAACGAUCUGUAGCUGGUCUGAGAGGACGACCAGCCACACUGGGACUGAGACACGGCCCAGAGUCCUACGGGAGGCAGCAGUGGGGAAUUUUGGACAAUGGGGGCAACCCUGAUCCAGCAAUGCCGCGUGCAGGAAGAAGGCCUUCGGGUUGUAGACUGCUUUUGUACGGAACGAAACGGUCUGGGUUAAUACCCUGGGCUAAUGACGGUACCGUAAGAAUAAGCACCGGCUAACUACGUGCCAGCAGCCGCCGUAAGAC
rnacentral:rRNA from 1 species